rnacentral:lncRNA from 1 species
CUGUCAAGAUUUGUAAACUGCAUCAAAGUGAGGAGAUCUUUCUGCUAAUGGAAUUUUGACAAAACCCACUCAACCGGACAGAUGGCUCUGAAUUCCUGCAUAAUGAAAGAUUAAAGAUAUGGGAUGUACAACAUCCAGACCAAAUUAUCAGCAAUAUGGUAAUGCAGACGAAGAAACGGUGCCACUCAUUGAUGACAUCAAUGUUGUGCUUAUUGGUUGUAAAAACUCUGGGAAAACUAAAGUUGCAAAUGCCAUUCUUGGAAAGAAAGCCUUCACACAGACCACAUAUUCAGAUGAGUAUGUGCAGCGCCAAAAGACAACUUUUGGAAGGACUAUUUCUGUAAUUCGUGUUCCUGGUUGGUCUGGAGAUUUGAAAUCUGGAGGUAAUGAGCAAAAACAUGUUCGGCAGGUGAUAAAGGACAGCGUGUGGUCCUUCAAACCUGGAACUAAUGCCAUCAUACUGGUGGUUGAAAAGGACACACAACUUUCAAGCACAACAAAAAGCACAUUAAAAACACUUUUGGGUCCCGGUGUUGCUGAGCACAUUUUAGUCAUUUCCACAGAUGGAAACAAGAUUUCAGUUGCUACAAUAAGUGAGCAUUAUAAUAACAAACAAACAAUAAUUCAACCAUAUCAGAAUCAUUACUUAUUCUGGAGAAAAACCAGCACCUGAAGUUAAUUGAAACAAUUGAGGAUUUUAUUGUGGGAAAUAAUGAUAUUUAUUUUUGUCCAGUGGGCAAAGGAGAACCCAAACCUGCACUGCAGAUUGAGCAGUUGGAAACUGUUGUGAAUAGACUAAGUCAGAGAAUCUCUCAAUACACAGACAGAAAUAAUGAAAUGAAUAAUGAAAUCAGUAAACUACAAAAGGUACUGGGAAAAAAGCAGGAAACACUGAAAGCUCUGAGGUUUAAAAAUUCCACAGAGCUCUCUGUCCUGCAUGGAGGGAUCCCCCAAUUUGAUGAAGCUCGAAGGGAAGAAGAAGUAAAGGGAAAGGGGAAAAAAAGAAGUAAUAAAAAAACAAGAAAAAGAAAACGUGGAAGAAACAAACACGCACACAAAGAAGAUGCACAGGAAUUAGUCCCACUGUGCUCAGCAGAAGAAACACCAGUUGAAGAAAAGCAGGCCAGUAAAGGUGGUGAUAAGGUAGCAUUACGACCCAAUCUAGUGUUAGGUGUGGACUUUGUGGACAGUUUCCGUGCAGAAAUCAUUCAGAAAGUUACAUCAGUUGAGCCCAUUCUUGAUGACUUGUUUCAAUUUAUUGGGGGAGAACAGUAUUCAAACGUCACACAACAUAAAACACCCCAGAAAAAACUAAGAGAGCUCUACACUAUCUUAAAUGCACGUGGACCAAAGCUGAAAGCAAAGUUUUACAAGAGUCUGGUAAAAUAUGAGAAUGGAAUUGUCAACGAACUAUAUGAAGGGGUUAGUGAGUCUACCAAUCACAAAGACUGUGUAAGGACACAGGGAUUUGUAACGUUUCGUAAAAAGACUAGUUAGCAGACUUGUAAUUGUAAUUGGUGCAAAUGUGGUACCAAACUGUGAGUCUGAUCGUUGUGCUGAUUUUUUGGGGAGUGUGGGUGCCUUUCAGGGCUUCCUCUUAUACUGGCCAGUAGAGCGCACAGCUUUGUGUAGAAGGGGGGGAGGUAAAGUCUGGGAACCUGUGGAGAAGACAAGGAGAAAGAGUCAAGGUGCUGAUGCUUGCAGGGUAAAGCAUACCCUCCUUUUUGAUGUACAAACCUGAACAUUUCCUCACACUUUCAAAAACUACUUAAACAUUUUCACCUAUUUAACACAGAGUUAACACAAAGAAAACCAAAUUAAUUAUAGAACAAUGCUUAUUCUGAAGCCAUAAAAAUAAGAGACAUUACUGGGAAGGUGCAAAGCAAUUGUCUUUAAGAUAUUAAGCCUCUACUCUCUUAAAGAAAAAAUGCUUUAGGAGGUUCUUUUAGCAAUGAUAAACAGGUACUUUAAUUUUAAUAAUAACUGUUUUAAAUAGAUAUUUGUGAAAGUAUAGAUGUUCCAAAAUUGGUUAAUCUAGCUUUUUAAGAGUAUAACACAGUUGGAGCCAAGGUAGGGUGCAUUUCGCAGCUGCUACAUAUAGAAGGCUGUUCAAAAGUAAAGGACCCUUUAAAUGACAGUUGUACCGCCAGAGCUGGACCACCCUCUAUAUGCUUACUAUGCAUGCUGCAAAGGGCUCACAAAUGAAAAAAAUACCCCUGUCUCUGCCUUUUGUCAAGUUAGGAAGAAUUAGAGUCUUAUAUCAAUCAGAAGGUAAAGCGAAACUAUCCUUCAGUACAAGAAAAGUACUGUAAAUCAUUCUACUACAUCAGGGGUCGGCAAUUCAGAUAUUUUCCAAGUCAUUUCGUGGCGGGCCACAAGUAGGGGUGGGGUUGGGUUGAAAGAAAAAAAUAAAUAUAAAAACACGCCGCUCCUCA